rnacentral:rRNA from 1 species
AGAGUUUGAUCCUGGCUCAGGACGAACGCUGGCGGCGUGCUUAACACAUGCAAGUCGAGCGGAAAGGCCCCUUCGGGGGUACUCGAGCGGCGAACGGGUGAGUAACACGUGAGCAACCUUCCCCUAGCUUUGGGAUAACCCCGGGAAACCGGGGCUAAUACCGAAUACACACGUCACGACGCAUGUCGAGACGUGGAAAGCUUUUGCGGCCAGGGAUGGGCUCGCGGCCUAUCAGCUAGUUGGUGGGGUCAUGGCCCACCAAGGCGGCGACGGGUAGCCGGCCUGAGAGGGCGACCGGCCACACUGGGACUGAGACACGGCCCAGACUCCUACGGGAGGCAGCAGUGGGGAAUAUUGCACAAUGGGCGCAAGCCUGAUGCAGCGACGCCGCGUGAGGGAAGACGGCCUUCGGGUUGUAAACCUCUUUCAGCUCCGACGAAGGGAAACUGACGGUAGGAGCAGAAGAAGCGCCGGCCAACUACGUGCCAGCAGCCGCGGUAAGACGUAGGGCGCAAGCGUUGUCCGGAUUUAUUGGGCGUAAAGAGCUCGUAGGCGGCUUAUCGCGUCGACUGUGAAAACCCGCGGCUCAACCGCGCGGUCUGCAGUUGAUACGGGUUGGCUAGAGUUCGGUAGGGGAGACUGGAAUUCCUGGUGUAGCGGUGAAAUGCGUAGAUAUUGGGAAGAACACCGGUGGCGAAAGCGCCUGACUGGGCCAUAACUGACACUCAUGGACGAAAGCUAGGGGAGCGAAAGGGAUUAGAUACCCCUGUAGUCCUAGCCGUAAACGAUGGACACUAGGUGUUGCCCGUAUCGACC